rnacentral:rRNA from 1 species
GACGAACGCUGUUGGCGUGCUUAACACAUGCAAGUCGAACGGAAAGGCCCUGCUUUUGUGGGGUGCUCGAGUGGCGAACGGGUGAGUAACACGUGAGUAACCUGCCCUUGACUUUGGGAUAACUUCAGGAAACUGGGGCUAAUACCGGAUAGGAGCUCCUGCUGCAUGGUGGGGGUUGGAAAGUUUCGGCGGUUGGGGAUGGACUCGCGGCUUAUCAGCUUGUUGGUGGGGUAGUGGCUUACCAAGGCUUUGACGGGUAGCCGGCCUGAGAGGGUGACCGGCCACAUUGGGACUGAGAUACGGCCCAGACUCCUACGGGAGGCAGCAGUGGGGAAUAUUGCACAAUGGGCGGAAGCCUGAUGCAGCAACGCCGCGUGCGGGAUGACGGCCUUCGGGUUGUAAACCGCUUUCGCCUGUGACGAAGCGUGAGUGACGGUAAUGGGUAAAGAAGCACCGGCUAACUACGUGCCAGCAGCCGCGGUGAUACGUAGGGUGCGAGCGUUGUCCGGAUUUAUUGGGCGUAAAGGGCUCGUAGGUGGUUGAUCGCGUCGGAAGUGUAAUCUUGGGGCUUAACCCUGAGCGUGCUUUCGAUACGGGUUGACUUGAGGAAGGUAGGGGAGAAUGGAAUUCCUGGUGGAGCGGUGGAAUGCGCAGAUAUCAGGAGGAACACCAGUGGCGAAGGCGGUUCUCUGGGCCUUUCCUGACGCUGAGGAGCGAAAGCGUGGGGAGCGAACAGGCUUAGAUACCCUGGUAGUCCACGCUGUAAACGGUGGGUACUAGGUGUGGGGUCCAUUCCACGGGUUCCGUGCCGUAGCUAACGCUUUAAGUACCCCGCCUGGGGAGUACGGCCGCAAGGCUAAAACUCAAAGGAAUUGACGGGGCCCCGCACAAGCGGCGGAGCAUGCGGAUUAAUUCGAUGCAACGCGUAGAACCUUACCUGGGUUUGACAUGGAUCGGGAGUGCUCAGAGAUGGGUGUGCCUCUUUUGGGGUCGGUUCACAGGUGGUGCAUGCCUGUCGUCAGCUCGUGUCGUGAGAUGUUGGGUUAAGUCCCGCAACGAGCGCAACCCUUGUUCACUGUUGCCAGCACGUUAUGGUGGGGACUCAGUGGAGACCGCCGGGGUCAACUCGGAGGAAGGUGGGGAUGACGUCAAGUCCUCAUGCCCCUUAUGUCCAGGGCUUCACGCAUGCUACAAUGGCUGGUACAGAGAGUGGCGAGCCUGUGAGGGUGAGCGAAUCUCGGAAAGCCGGUCUCAGUUCGGAUUGGGGUCUGCAACUCGACCCCAUGAAGUCGGAGUCGCUAGUAAUCGCAGAUCAGCAACGCUGCGGUGAAUACGUUCCCGGG